GGCAACAUCAUGUUGAAACACUGGUUCCCAUAUGAUCACCGAAGUUAAGCAACAUUGAACUUGGUCAGUACCUAGAUGGGUGACUGCUUAGAAAGACCAGGUUUUGUAAG